AGAACGAACGCUGGCGGCAUGCCUAACACAUGCAAGUCGAACGAGACCUUCGGGUCUAGUGGCGCACGGGUGCGUAACGCGUGGGAAUCUGCCCUUGGGUUCGGAAUAACAGCGAGAAAUUGCUGCUAAUACCGGAUGAUGACGUAAGUCCAAAGAUUUAUCGCCCAAGGAUGAGCCCGCGUAGGAUUAGCUUGUUGGUGAGGUAAGAGCUCACCAAGGCGACGAUCCUUAACUGGUCUGAGAGGAUGAUCAGUCACACUGGAACUGAGACACGGUCCAGACUCCUACGGGAGCAGCAGUGGGGAAUAUUGGACAAGUGGGACGAAAG
rnacentral:rRNA from 1 species